CCUACGGGUGACAGCAGUGAGGAAUAUUGGUCAAUGGGCGCGAGCCUGAACCAGCCAAGUAGCGUGAAGGAUGACUGCCCUACGGGUUGUAAACUUCUUUUAUAAAGGAAUAAAGUGAGGCACGUGUGCCUUUUUGUAUGUACUUUAUGAAUAAGGAUCGGCUAACUCCGUGCCAGCAGCCGCGGUAAUACGGAGGAUCCGAGCGUUAUCCGGAUUUAUUGGGUUUAAAGGGUGCGUAGGCGGGUUGAUAAGUUAGAGGUGAAAUGUCCGGGCUCAACUCGGGAACUGCCUCUGAUACUGGGGAUCGAGAGUGUAGGUGAGGUAGGCGGAAUGUGUGGUGUAGCGGUGAAAUGCUUAGAGAUCAUGAAGAACCCCGAUUGCGAAGGCAGCUUACUAAACUGUAACUGACGUUGAGGCACGAAAGCGUGGGGAGCAAACAGGAUUAGAUACCCCGGUAGUC
rnacentral:rRNA from 1 species